UAUAAUUAUUAAUUUGCUAUACAAUCGAUGACAUAAGCACUGUCCUAUAUUUUCAGUCGAUGGUAAGUGGACAAACUGGUCAGACUGGACAUUAUGUGACGUCACAUGUGGUAACGGAACGCAGACACGGACUCGAUCAUGUACAAACCCGGCACCUGCUCAUGGAGGAGCCGUCUGUACCGGAGAAAGUACUCAAAAUGAAAAAUGCUCGAAACAUUUGUGCCCAGUGACGAAUGGCGGAUGGACCAACUGGGGUAUCUGGUCUAUAUGUACUGUGACUUGUGGAGGAGGGAUUCAGGCGAGGACAAGGACAUGUACGAACCCCAAACCCUCUGAUCAUGGAGAAUAUUGUACCGGGGAUCCAUUAAAUAUACAGUCAUGUAGCCCGGAAAGAUGUUCACUCGAUGGUAUGUGGACAAACUGGUCAGACUGGACAUUAUGUGACGUCACAUGUGGUAACGGAACGCAGACACGGUCAAGAUCUUGUACGAACCCGGCACCUGCUCACGGAGGAGCCGUCUGUACCGGAGAAAGUACUCAAAAUGAAAAAUGCUCGAAACAUUUGUGCCCAGGUACUCAAGCACACGCACACAUAUGCACGCACGAAUGC